AUGCUUAACACAUGCAAGUCGAACGGCAGCACGGUCUGUAGCAAUACAGAUGGGUGGCGAGUGGCGGACGGGUGAGUAACGCGUAGGAAUCUGCCUUGAAGAGGGGGACAACCCGGGGAAACUCGGGCUAAUACCGCAUAAUCUCUAAGGAGGAAAGUGGGGGACCUUCGGGCCUCACGCUGUAAGAUGAGCCUGCGUCGGAUUAGCUAGUUGGUGGGGUAAAGGCCUACCAAGGCGACGAUCCGUAGCUGGUCUGAGAGGACGAUCAGCCACACUGGGACUGAGACACGGCCCAGACUCCUACGGGAGGCAGCAGUGGGGAAUAUUGGACAAUGGGCGAAAGCCUGAUCCAGCAAUGCCGCGUGUGUGAAGAAGGCCUUCGGGUUGUAAAGCACUUUCAGUGGGGAAGAAAAAUUUAAGGCUAAUACCCUUGAGUCUUGACGUUACCCAAAGAAGAAGCACCGGCAAACUCUGUGCCAGCAGCCGCGGUAAUACAGAGGGUGCAAGCGUUAAUCGGAAUUACUGGGCGUAAAGCGCACGUAGGUGGAUAUUUAAGUCGGAUGUGAAAUCCCUGGGCUUAACCUGGGAAUUGCUUCCGAAACUGGAUGUCUAGAGUCUGGUAGAGGGUAGUGGAAUUUCCGGUGUAGCGGUGAAAUGCGUAGAUAUCGGAAGGAACACCAGUGG
rnacentral:rRNA from 1 species